rnacentral:rRNA from 1 species
AUUGAACGCUGGCGGCAUGCCUUACACAUGCAAGUCGAACGGCAGCACGGGAGCAAUCCUGGUGGCGAGUGGCGAACGGGUGAGUAAAGUAUCGGAACGUGCCCAGUCGUGGGGGAUAACGUAGCGAAAGUUACGCUAAUACCGCAUACGAUCUAUGGAUGAAAGCGGGGGAUCGCAAGACCUCGCGCGAUUGGAGCGGCCGAUAUCAGAUUAGGUAGGUGGUGGGGUAAAGGCUCACCAAGCCGACGAUCUGUAGCUGGUCUGAGAGGACGACCGGCAACACUGGGACCUAGACACGGCACAGAGUCCGACGGGAGGCAGCAGUAGGGGAUUUUGGACAAUGGGCGAAAGCCUGCUCCAGCCAUGCCGCGGGCAGGAUGAAGGCCGUCGGGUUGGAAACUGCUUUUGUACAGAACGAAAAGGUUUCUACUAAUACUAGGGGCUCAUGACGGUACUGGAAGAAUAAGCACCGGCUAUCUACGUGCCAGCCGCCGCAGUAA